UACGUAGGGGGGCAAGCGUUGUCCGGAAUCAUUGGGCGUAAAGCGCGUGUAGGCGGCUCGAUAAGUCCGCUCUGAAAGUCCAGGGCUCAACCCUGGGAUGCGGGUGGAUACUGUCGGGCUCGAGUCCGGAAGAGGCGAGUGGAAUUCCCGGUGUAGCGGUGAAAAUGCGCAGAUAUCGGGGAGGAACACCAAUGGCGAAGGCAGCUCGCUGGGGACGUGACUGACGCUGAGACGCGAAAAGCGUGGGGGAGCAAAACAGGG
rnacentral:rRNA from 1 species